UUCUCUAAAAAUGCAAAAUUUUGGAAAAUAUAAGAAAUAGUUUUGAUGUUCUGUCAUCAAAGUGUGUUUUGAUGGUGUCUUACUUCAGUACUCUAUUGUAAUAUCAUGGCAUCAGCAUGAUCAAAAGUGCCAUUAUGUUAGCAGGCUGUAUUACGGCAAAUGAGAGAGAGAGAGUGAGAAAGAGAGAGAGAGAGAUUGCACACUGGAGCGUGAACGUCCCAAAUGGUGCUUUUUUUCUGCCAACCACUGGGCUGCACUGACUAUGCAUGUGCAUGUGUGUGCGAGAGAGUGUGUGUUGGGAUGCAGCAGAGCCCCCUGAGGUAAGUGAUCCUGCUGAACAGGUGUUACAGUAUCAACUUUUCCCCACCCACCUACCCACAAACACACACACACACACACACACAAAAACACACACAGAGCUAUCAGAGCCUUUGUCAGCCGUGACUGAUCUGAAGGGAUCCGCCUGCUCCACACCAGACGGAUGAAGCCAAGCCACCAGCUGAUCCGUUAAAACACUGACACUCAUCUCUAGAAACCUGGCAGCUGGAGACAACUUGAACUAUCCCACCCUGACAGGUUGGAUUUUGGCAUAAUUCUGUAUUCCACGACCACUGACUGACCUAAUGGAGGGGUUACUGAGACAAGUUGCCUCAUACUGUCUACCUCUCUCCACUCGUCUUUUCUGUCACAUGAUACCCGGCAGCAUGGCCAGAACCCAGCCAGGAAAGUGUGAAACCCACACAGACAACGAACGCCUGAGACAGAUGGUCAGAGAGAGAGAGAAAGCGACAGAGAGAAGCAAAUAUAAAGAUCCCAUCACUUUGUCUGAUGCUGCUUUGACAAAAUAUAUAGAUUUCUUUAAUUUCUUGUCAACGCAGAUUGAAAUAAACUGAGAAGGAAAAAGAAAAUUGUCAUACAUGAUUGAAUUAGACAGAGACAGCAAGAGAAAGUGUGUGAGUGAACACACUAAUUUCUGACAAAUAAAUAUAAAAACUAACAUUAUCUUUCA